rnacentral:rRNA from 1 species
CUACGGGCCGCAGCAGUGAGGAAUAUUGCACAAUGGAGGAAACUCUGAUGCAGCCAUGCCGCGUGAGUGAUGAAGGCCUUAGGGUUGUAAAGCUCUUUCAACGGUGAAGAUAAUGACGGUAGCCGUAGAAGAAGCCCCGGCUAAAUUCGUGCCAGCAGCCGCGGUAAUACGAAUGGGGCAAGCGUUGUUCGGAAUCACUGGGCUUAAAGCGUGCGCAGGCGGACUAGAAAGUCAGAAGUGAAAUCCCAGGGCUCAACCCUGGAACUGCUUUUGAAACUCCUAGUCUAGAAUCCUGGAGAGGUUGGGGGAAUUCCGAGUGUAGAGGUGAAAUUCGCAGAUAUUCGGAGGAACACCAGUGGCGAAGGCGCCCAACUGGACAGGUAUUGACGCUCAGGCACGAAAGCGUGGGGAGCAAACAGGAUUAGAUACCCCGGUAGUC